UUGAUCCUGAAUGAAGGUCUGCUUUUUUCUGAAGUUGUUGGUUUCAAGCAGGAGCCUAAACUAGUAGCUUUUGAUGAUCUUCUGGCCAUUUCAGAACCUCAGAGAUGUAAUGGUCAAUUCAUCAGAAAGAAACAANN
ensembl:snoRNA